GGCAGAGUGUCUGCAGGUUUUCACUCUCACCUUGUACUUGAUUGACUAAUUAGGUCACUAAUUGGUUAGUUUCUACCCUCACCUGGUUGUUUAGGUCUGAACUGGGAACCAAUUUAAAGGAAAAACCUCAGUGGAACUGGUGUGACACCUCUGAUCUAGAGGAUUUGAGAUAGCUGAUUGAGGACCUAAUGGGGUUCCUUGUUAUGACCCCAUUUUCAAUUAUUGUGUUUAUUUUGUAUUUUUUGUAUAUGCUUAUAUUUAGUACGUGGAGGGCUCAUCAGGGCUCAUCUACAUGAGUCAUCAGUCUCCGUAUGACUCCAUCGUGAAAGACGCACCUAUGAUGAACUGAGCAUCAACAGGUUGGAAAGACUCACAACUGAGGUGAAAAGUGUGGUUAGUGAAAUUACAUUCAAUCAUUAAAUCGUGCUUCGCAGCCAGCUUCUAAGUCUGUGCAGAGCCAAAAAUGCCCGUUCCUACCGAGGGGCUAUCACCAGGAAUCCUGGGCCUCCUGGAAAAAUAUAUGCCUAGGCCCCCUCACUUAUACAUGCCAUUGACAUUAUUUCAAUCAGAUGGCCCUGACAACCCACGGCCCUGUGAAUCAAUCACACUUUACCCUGCGUUAGUUAGGGCUCUGCUACUAUGCAGAUACUGCUGAGGAGACACAGCUUCACCACCUGAAUGGUAAAUGAUCCGCCAUCAUCUUGAAGCAUGUUGCAGAUGGACCUGAAAAGAGAGACUUUUAUUCUGAUGGUUAAUUCUCAGUCACCGAGUGGAGCAAUGAGCCCAUUGUCCACUCCUACCUGGCAUUCGUUCACCAGAGGGUCGCGAGGGUGGAGAGCUGUUGCUUCAGGUCUGCCAAGGGUCCCAACCAGUGUCCCAACAGGCUCUGGAGUGCUGCCCAGCGGCCGCUCCCAUUGGUUGGAACGAGCCAGUCCUCAACACGCUCUUCCGCCGCGGUUUGCGAGAGGAGCUGCAGACCAAGCUAGUUUGCCGGGAUGAUGGUCAAUUCUUGCCCCAGCUCAUCCCCAUGGCCACCCGAGUGGGCAACAUGAUCAAAGUGGGGCCAUCUCCAUGCGAAGGACCACCUUUAGACUACACAGAG
ensembl:lncRNA